rnacentral:lncRNA from 1 species
GUCCUUGACGUCCGAUUGUUUGAGGCAAAAGCCGCACGGCUGAAAAAGCGGCUACGAGGGUGGCGGGGAGCGCGCGCAGGAAAUCAAGCGCGUAUACCUCCCGCACGGGCGCGCGGGCCAUCCCUACAGCGCGCUAAAUCGAGAGAGUGGGAGGGAAAGAAAGGAGAGAGGGGAAGAGAAGAGGGCGGCGGCAGCACCUAGAAUCCGGCGGCGCGCCGCCUCCAUCCAGCCACCGUUGCUCCUUCCACACCGCCGAUUCGAGGCUCCUGCUGCUCCACGGCCUCCGACCUCCGCUCCGCCGAUUCGCCCCUCCGAUUGGACCUCUGCAUCACCGAUUCGUCCCUCCAAUUGGACCUCCACCCGUCGAUCCGCACCUCCGACCUCUGCCCCCAUCAAUUCGUGGCUGCUUCCUCUACUCCGCCUCCCUGCUAGCGUCCUUCACGUCGGCUCACAGGCAGUUCCACUCUUCUCUCCCAUCGUUUUCUCUUCCUUCACCUUCUUCCUCUGCUCUGAAUCUCUUGGACUUGGAUAUACUGUGGUUGUGCUUGUGCUUACCGCUUGCCUCUAGCUAGUGGUGCUGGUUGUUUGUGCUAGCCUGCUAGGUGUUGAUGGUCACUCCAGUGCUGCUCUGUUCUGCUUGCUAUAUAGUCAUAAGCAUGCUACAUGGAUCAAGACAGCAAGCGAAGCUGGAAAGAGGAGGAUCACUGGUACAUAUGCUCCAGAAUUGGUAGCAAAAAGGUAUGCAUCAGUGUGUUUUUGUGCUGCUCCAUUGUGGGUUAGGAUAUGAAUAUGGCGUCGCCUUGACGCGCCGACGUCUGGAAGGGCUCGCUUGCCGCCUUAAAAACUUCCUUAAGAUCAUUAUCAUUAAUCACCAAAUGGAGUACUGGUUGUGAUAUCGAAUCCGACAUCAUUGAUCCAUGACUUAUGAGAUGGCUGGAAGAGUUGUGCUUGUGCUGCUCAAUUUAUUUGGCUUGUGUGUGGCUGGACAACAUUAAAUCCUUGUAUUGUAAUGUUUAUCUGGCUUGUGCGAAAGUGGGACUUUGAACUGCAGUAUUGCACAAUAUUUGGCUGUAAUCUUUGAACUAUUUCACUGGUUGUUAGGGACCUAAUGGAGUACUGGUUGUGAACUUUGAACUAUGUUUUUUGUUUAAAUUGUAUUGUGGUUGUCAAAUUGCUGUUUUACUCAUUCAUAUGAACCUAUUGGUAUAUUUU